UAAUAAUAAUAAUAAAACUCAGAGGCCAAACACGGUCGCGGGCGGGGACAGCGGAUUUAAAUUCCAUUCUGUACACGCACCAUCUUCCCGAAGCAAGUUUAAAGUAGGAAGCUUUCAAGCUUCUGUCUAUGGACAGGACGAGAGCCUAAGAAAGUUGCUUCAACACACAUUUGAUUGAAUUGUGAGAAAAAAAAGUGUUUCUUUCACUGGGAUGGAAUGAUAUAGAAAUCUCUUUAUUUGAUUAUUCUAAAAGGAUGUAGACUAGAUCACCAAAGGUUUAGUAAUUCUUAAUGAGAUUCCCUAACAGACAUGAAGAGGUAUAUCAUAUUCUCAGUCACUUGAUUGUGGACCAUCUCUAAUAAUCUAUGUUUAAGUUUUGCUUCGAAUUGUUUGAUUAAUUUUCUAUUCUUUAAAUUUAAGUUCUCUUUGUCUUUGAUGCAAUUUAUAUGUUUGAAUGCAUCGUGGUUUUUUUAUUAUUAUUUUAUUUUAUUUUAUAAUUACUAUUUGUUUUAAUGCUUGAGAAUAAUGUGAUUUUGGUUAUAUGCCUGAGGAUAUAUAUUUCAUUUAGGGUCUGUUUGGUUAUUAUUUUUUAUUAUAUUUCAUUUAGGAUCUGUUUGGUUGUUAGUUUUGGAUCUCUUUGAUGCUUGACGAUACCCAUGUUAGGUGGUGGAGGUCGCUCAAUUCUAGCCCAAUGUGCUUUAGUUUCAAUUCAAUAAUGGGCAUGGGAGAGAACAACGAUCAUGGAUCUGUGCUUCCACCCACGUUGCUACAAGGCCCUUUCACAGCAUCAGGCAUCAGACCUGUUUGGGAAAUAAGAAAACAAAAAGAGAACGGGGAAAAUUUCAAACUCUUAUUCAGCUAAGCGCUUUGCAUGGCUGUUUGUAAUUACAGAAACAUGGUAUUAUCAAUUAGGCCUCAUGUUAGGAGAAUAGUUAUGGGAGCAGCCAUUGCUCCCACAGAAUCAAACCUUCUGGUUUCUCAUGGACGACCUGACCAGUUAGCCCAGGAAAUGCAUUUUCUUAAUCAUGCUGAUAUGCAUGAAUUAAAUGGUCGACUGAAGCAGCUGGUGAAUACUGGUCACCUUGGUGAUGCUCGGAAUAUGUUUGAUAAAAUGCCUCGAAGGGAUGAGAUUUCAUGGACUAAUAUUAUUUCUGGAUAUUUAAAUACCUCUGAUGCCUCCGAAGCAUUGCAUUUAUUCUCAAAUAUGUGGGUUCAGCCUGGACUGCAAAUGGACCCCUUUGUACUUAGUCUUGCACUUAAGGCUUGUGCACUCAACAUGAACUUGUAUUAUGGGGAACUUUUGCAUGCUUAUUCAAUAAAAUUGGAUUUGAUCAACUCAGUUUUUGUUGGUAGUUCCCUUCUUGACAUGUACAUGAAAAAUGGCAAAACUGAGCAUGGUUGUAGAGUCUUCAAUCAAAUGCCACAAAGAAAUGUAGUAUCGUGGACUGCCAUAAUAACAGGGCUUGUUCAUGCUGGUCUUCAUAUAGAGGGGUUAGUGUACUUAUCUGAAAUGUGGAAGUCAAAGCUGGAAUGUGAUGCUUAUGCAUUUGCUAUUGCAUUGAAGGCAUGUGCUGAUUCAGGUGCUCUUAUUCAUGGGAAGGCAAUUCACACUCAAACAAUGAAGAAAGGGUUGAAUGAGACUUCAUUUGUAGCUAACUCUCUUGCUACCAUGUAUAACAAAUGUGGUAAGUUAGACUAUGGCUUGCACUUAUUUUCAAAGAUGAAAACACGGGAUGUAGUUUCAUGGACAACAAUCAUUACAACGUUUGUUCAGAUGGCUCAAGAGGAGCAUGCAAUUGAAGCCUUCAUAAGAAUGAAGAAAUCUGGUGUGACUCCUAACGAGUAUACUUUCGCAGCCGUCAUCUCUGGAUGCGCAAAUCUUGCUAGAGUUGAAUUGGGUGAACAGUUACAUGCUUACGUAUUAUGUUUAGGUCACAUGGAUUCUUUGUCAGUGGCAAAUUCGGUUGUUACGAUGUACUCAAAAUGUGGGCGUUUAACUUCAGCUUCAAUGGUGUUUCAUGGAUUGAGCAGAAAGGAUAUUGUAUCAUGGAGCACUAUAAUUGCAGGUUAUUCUCAAGGAGGUUAUGCGGAAGAAGCUUUUGAGUAUUUAUCAUGGAUGAGAAGAGAAGGACCAAAACCCAAUGAAUUUGCUCUUGCUAGUGUGUUAAGUGUUUCUGGAAGCAUGGCAUUGCUCAACCAAGGGAAGCAGGUCCAUGCUCAUGUCCUAUCUAUUGGGUUAGAGCAUACAUCUAUAGUACAAAGUUCUCUAAUUAAUAUGUAUUCAAAAUGUGGGAGCAUAGAUGAAGCCUCAAAAAUCUUUGAGGUGACAGGACACAAUGACAUUGUCUCAUGGACAGCAAUGAUUAGUGGAUAUGCUGAACAUGGAGUCAGCGAAGAAGCCAUUCGUUUGUUUGACAGGAUACCUAAAGUUGGUUUAACACCUGAUUCUGUGACCUUCAUUGGCGUUCUUUCUGCUUGUAGCCAUGCUGGGCUGCUAGAUCUUGGAUUCCACUAUUUCAAAUCAAUGCAUAGCGAUUACCAGAUCAAUCCUUCGAAAGAACACUAUGGCUGCAUGAUUGAUCUCCUAUGUCGAGCUGGACGUUUAAGUGAUGCAGAGCAGAUGAUCAGAAGCAUGCCAUUUCAGCGGGACGAUGUUGUCUGGUCCACUCUGCUUAGGGCAUGUAGGGUCCACGGUGAUGUUGACUGUGGAAGACGUGCAGCAGAGGAGAUUCUUAAACUCAAUCCAAAUUGUGCAGGAACUCACAUCACCUUGGCAAAUUUGUAUGCUGCCAAAGGGAAGUGGAUGGAAGCAGCGAAACUAAGGAAGAUUAUGAAAUCAAAGGGCGUGAUUAAAGAACCAGGAUGGUCUUGGAUAAAGGUUAAGGAUAUGAUUUUUGCAUUUCUAGCUGGUGAUCAAUCUCAUCCACAAGCUGAAGACAUAUACAGUAUGCUUGAACUACUAGCUUCAAAGACAGAAGCUGCAACUGAUGAAUCCGUUUUUCCAUUUAUUGAUGCGGAGGAUUAACUUUUAUCCACCAGAAAUGAAGGAUUUGCUAGAGCCUUGUAAAGAAUUAGGAACUGUGUGUUUGAAUAACUUUGAAAGCUCUUACCUAUAUUUCCUGUGAAGAUGUACUGAAAGAAGGUGAUGUUGUGCUAAAUAUUGGUGCGACUGCCAACAAUAUGGCUUUAAGUACGACUUUGCUGUUAUUGUAAUUACAGAUCACUAAAUGGUUUACUCGGUGUAAAAUACAAAGCAAGAAUAUAUGGGAAAUAAUAUAUGCUAGAUAAUAAUAUAUAGUAUAAUACCAUGCAUCUAAUGAUAUGUUGCUAAGUUUCUUCCUCAUAGAUAUCUUUAUUUCAGCACAGCUCGCUCAGUAUGUUACCUUCCUCUGGAAAAAAGCCAUAGCCCAUGAUGCCAAAGGUCCCUCACCUUCUCCAGUUCUAAAGAACUUGAUGUAUAUCUUAUGAAGAAAAUUUAUCUAGGAAAACAGAAAUAGGAGGAUCUGAUUUUGGUGGAUAUCCUGCUUUGAAGGAAAAAUUUGAUUCUUUAUGGUCUAUUAAAAACAAACCUAAACCGAAACGAACUUAGCUAAGUUUUUAUUAAAUAUAUCAGCUAAUUUGUUCUUUUAAAGUUUCGUUGUUCCCAAUGAAGAUUUUUCUCUCGUACAUCUUUGCUUUCUAUCACUUAUAUGUUUGUUUAUAUUUUUUAUCAGUUACAACAAUUGUUGUCUUCUUUGUGUUUCGAACCCAUAACCUCAAGUGGAUGUGUUUGCUUAUAUUUGAUUCAUGUAUGGUGCACGAAUCAGAUUUGUCAGUGAAAUUAAACCUGGUACAAUACAGGAUUUGAUAUAGAAGAUUCUGACCUCCUUGAGAUGGAGCAGUGUUCGGCUAUAUUUGGAAUUUUUUAUGGAAAUAAACCAGCCAAGUGACAUUAGUAAAUACUCCGAGGAGACUGUUUGCUUCUACAUGUUCAUAGAUGACGAGACAGAAGCUUAUGAAUAGUUCUGGUGAUAUUGGCAGCAGCAAGAAAAUUGGUUUACGGAGAGUUGUGGUUCAUAAUCAUAACUUUCCUUACAUAGAUGCACGACGCAACUGGAGCAAAAUAUUAGAGAGAGAGAGAGAGAGAGUUAGUGAAUCAAGUGUAGAUAUUCCCCACAUACUAAUAACUGAAUUAAAAAAAAAAAAAAAAUCAUUAUUGCAUCGUCUAUUUUAUGCAACUAUCAUUUAAGCUUAUGUACAUGGGAAAGAUUUUAACUUGAAGAAUCUUGUUAUUGUGUAUUUCAAUGUUUUAAUUAAGAUUCACAGAACUUCAUGUGCACAAAUGUUGCAUAAGAAUCUUUUG